rnacentral:lncRNA from 1 species
GUGACAUUUAUCUUCAAGAGUCAAUUAUUUCCUCUAUGGGUGUUCUUGAGCAAAGAUAUCUAGAACACAUUCUCUAUUAAUUUGGGGGUAUGAAAGUACAAAAACUGUUGGUACAUGUUGGAACCUUUAUCUCUAUAAAUGUAUGUAUCAAAUACUGUCAAAUUAGCAUUUCUUUUCCAGUCUUUGCUCACAUUUAAAUGGUUUCUACUGUAUUGUUCUCAGUGAUGUGCAGCUGGUGGUAUUGAUGAGCCCAGCUACCUGAAGCAAACUUCCUCCACUUUUUUUGCAAGAAAAAGAAGUUUAGAGGAAUGCAUUUUGCAGCAUUAUAUGGAAUUUUCCUGUGCAUCUAUCCAGUUACGGAUGUUUCCCUGGUGCAUACCCCAUGGCUCUCUUGCUUAAUGCUGAACUGGCAGAGAUGCUGGCAAACGUAUCACAGACAAGCUGAUGAGGUCAGACUAAUGACUUAGGCUGGGUUCUGAACUUAAAGCUUUUGCCAUUUUGGUUGAGGUUACCCAUGCUCCAGAGAUGUCCACUCUCCAAUUAGGAGCACCCUAUUCUUUCAGUGCCUGAGCCAAACCCCAAAGCACUGAAAGGGAGAGUAGAGCUGUGAGUGCCUAGAGGUUGCUACUCUUCACUGUAUCUGGUGAGUUUGUCUAACUUGUCCAUUUAAUGCAGAAACUGUAGUACUCUGAGUCCCUGCAAAUUGUGCUGGAAACAUUCCACGUAGCAUUAGAAAUGAGCGGUAGGCUGUGCUUCCUUCAUCUCUGCAAAGUGGUAAACAGGGAGUAGAUUCACUCCAAGCUCUCCAAACUAUGAGCUACAGCCUGAAGCAAAACAAAAGGAAUUUCUUAGUUCUCUCAAAUGAAAACUGGUUGCCCCCUGCUUUCCAUAGGAUAUGUGAGGGAAGCGGGCCUGCAUGUACAAAAGGUGUCGUAAGCUGCUGCCAACUGGUUAUAUAAUCUAGGUGACCUGAUCAAGAUAGACGACUUCUUACUCAGUUACUGCUUUUUUUCAGAAUUGAUGCAGUUUUCUGUUCUGAACCUUAGCAAUUACCCAGUUGAUUUAACUUUGAAAGAAUGGUAUUUAAACUAUGAAAUACUGAAAUUAUUC